rnacentral:rRNA from 1 species
GACGAACGCUGGCGGCGUGCUUAACACAUGCAAGUCGAACGAAGAGCGAUGGAAGCUUGCUUCUAUCAAUCUUAGUGGCGAACGGGUGAGUAACGCGUAAUCAACCUGCCCUUCAGAGGGGGACAACAGUUGGAAACGACUGCUAAUACCGCAUACGAUCUAAUCUCGGCAUCGAGGAUAGAUGAAAGGUGGCCUCUACAUGUAAGCUAUCGCUGAAGGAGGGGAUUGCGUCUGAUUAGCUAGUUGGAGGGGUAACGGCCCACCAAGGCGAGGAUCAGUAGCCGGCCUGAGAGGAUGAACGGACACAUUGGGACUGAGACACGGCCCAGACUCCUGCGGGAGGCAGCAGUGGGGAAUCUUCCGCAAUGGAAGAAAGUCUGACGGAGCAACGCCGCGUGAGAGAUGACGGCCUUCGGGUUGUAAAGCUCUGUUAAUCGGGACGAAAGGCCUUCUUGCGAACAGUUAGAAGGAUUGACGGUACCGGAAGAGAAAGCCACGGCUAACUACGUG